AGUAUUUCCUGCCUGAAUGAGACGUGCUACAGGACCAAGGGGAGCAGCAGCAGAUGAUCACCUUCAAUAACUUGAAACAAUUUUCUGAAAUGUGGGAGGAGAUGGCUUCGUUCUGCGCGACUUACCUGGGUGAUCAUACUACCAAACUAGCGAUGCAUAAGUUCGAAGUGACUCUUCCAAUGUGGUGGGGCGUGUGUGUGGCCUCAAAAUGUGUAUUAGUCAAAUACCGGCUGUGCCCGAUGGCGAGGCUACUCGUAAACAGCACCCAUUGCUGGUUUCUUGGACGUGUAGGACUGCUUGCCAGGAAGCUACCUGUGCACUCGCAGCCGCACCAAACCGGCCCGCUGAUAAUCAAUCCGGCAGCCAGAAUAAUGCCACCGAAACCUACAAUCGGAUCACGUGAUGCCUCUGCUCCAAACCAACAGCGUUCGUUGCUCUUCAGGGUAAACUAGGAGUCCUUGUGAUCGCCGACAAGGCCAUCUGUGACGUGGCCACUAGUUCCCUCUCUUCCCUGAUCUCCUAGGACCCUCCUCCUUUCUCACUCCCCUUUGCCUACGGUGACCUCCUUCCUGCUCCCAAAGUGAGGGCUUUGGCACCUUCUGUUCUUUCAGCCUGGAGCAUUCUUUCCCCAGAUGUCUGCAUGGCUACCUCCGUCAUCUCUUUCAUGACUUCGAAUAAAUGUCACCUUUCAAUAUGGCUCGCUCCUACACUUAUUAUUUCAAGUGUCACCACCUCACCCCCUUCACUCACUCACACACACACACACACACACACACACACACACACACUUCCCAUUUACCCGGUCUUCUUCUGUUCUGUCUUGAAUGCACGUUGUUCUGUCAACACGUUAUGUAAUUUAUUUCCUUAUUAUAAUUGUUUGCUUGUCUCUGCCCACUAGAAGGCAAGCUCCUCAAAGCCAGGGUUUUUGUUGUUGUCUAGUAUGUGUGCUCGGUUGUUCCCUAAUUUAUCCCAAAGGUGACUGGCACGUAGUAGGUGCUCACUGAAUGUUUGUUGAAUGAAUAAAGAUCUGUUACCAACAUCC